rnacentral:misc_RNA from 1 species
GAUGAAGAACGCAGCGAAAUGCGAUAAGUAAUGUGAAUUGCAGAAUUCAGUGAAUCAUCGAAUCUUUGAACGCACAUUGCGCCCGCCAGUAUUCUGGCGGGCAUGCCUGUCCGAGCGUCAUUUCAACCCUCGAACCCCUCCGGGGGGUCGGCGUUGGGGAUCGGCCCCUCACCGGGCCGCCCCCGAAAUCCAGUGGCUGUCUCGCCGCAGCCUCUCCUGCGCAGUAGUUUGCACACUCGCACCGGGAGCGCGGCGCGGCCACAGCCGUAAAACACCCCAAACUCUGAAAUGUUGACCUCGGAUCAGGUAGGAAUACCCGCUGAACUUAAGCAUAUCAAUAAGCGGAGGA